rnacentral:rRNA from 1 species
AUGAUAAGAAAGUUCAAGAAUAGGUGCGAUUUACUUGAAAAAGAGUACAAUAGUUGGAAGACGUUAAACCAAAAGGCAUCUGGCAUCGGAAUAGAUCCUGUUACUAAGAGCAUUGCGGCUACCGAUGAAUGGUGGGCAAAUGAGAUACAGAGAAAUGAGAUUGCGGCCAAGUUUCGAUAUGCUCCAUUAGUGGAUGAGCAAAGAAUGAGUUUAAUAUUUGAUGACCACAGUGUGACAAAUGCGUGUGCGAGGGUUGCAAUUCCCUUGUCUCAAGUUGAUGCCUCUCAAAUUAACAUUGAAGAGGAUAAUGAGGACUACUCAGGAUGUGAGUUAGAUGUUACCCAAGUUGCACCCAACAAAGUUUCAUCUAAAGGUCGAAAGAAGAGAUCAUGUCCUUUUUCACCUAGUCCCAAGAUGGUCCAAAAGCAGCAAAAGAUAGUGAUGAUAAAUUAG